CCCAGAGGCCCACACGGGCGUUUCCUCCCUGACUUGGGCCACCCUUCGGGGUGGCUUUUUUUUCGGCUCUU
rnacentral:sRNA from 1 species